AACUUUCAACAACGGAUCUCUUGGUUCUGGCAUCGAUGAAGAACGCAGCGAAAUGCGAUAAGUAAUGUGAAUUGCAGAAUUCAGUGAAUCAUCGAAUCUUUGAACGCACAUUGCGCCCUUUGGCAUUCCGAAGGGCAUGCCUGUUCGAGCGUCAUUACACCAAUCAAGCCUGGCUUGGUGUUGGGUGCCGUCCCGCCUCUGGUGCGCGGACGCUCCCUAAAAUCAUCGGCGGUGCAGCACCGGCUUCGAGCGCAGCAGAUGUUCGCUCUGUGGGUCUGGUGAGGCAGCGGCCGCGACGACAACCUCUAGGUUGACCUCGGAUCAGGUAGGGAUACCCGCUGAACUUAAGCAUAUCAAUAAGCGGAGGAAAAGAAACCAACAGGGAUUGCCUCAGUAACGGCGAGUGAAGCGGCA
rnacentral:misc_RNA from 1 species